AGAGUUUGAUCAUGGCUCAGAUUGAACGCUGGCGGCAGGCCUAACACAUGCAAGUCGAGCGGUAGCACAGAGAGCUUGCUCUCGGGUGACGAGCGGCGGACGGGUGAGUAAUGUCUGGGAAACUGCCUGAUGGAGGGGGAUAACUACUGGAAACGGUAGCUAAUACCGCAUAAUGUCGCAAGACCAAAGUGGGGGACCUUCGGGCCUCAUGCCAUCAGAUGUGCCCAGAUGGGAUUAGCUAGUAGGUGGGGUAAUGGCUCACCUAGGCGACGAUCCCUAGCUGGUCUGAGAGGAUGACCAGCCACACUGGAACUGAGACACGGUCCAGACUCCUACGGGAGGCAGCAGUGGGGAAUAUUGCACAAUGGGCGCAAGCCUGAUGCAGCCAUGCCGCGUGUGUGAAGAAGGCCUUCGGGUUGUAAAGCACUUUCAGCGGGGAGGAAGGCGUUAAGGUUAAUAACCUUGGCGAUUGACGUUACCCGCAGAAGAAGCACCGGCUAACUCCGUGCCAGCAGCCGCGGUAAUACGGAGGGUGCAAGCGUUAAUCGGAAUUACUGGGCGUAAAGCGCACGCAGGCGGUCUGUCAAGUCGGAUGUGAAAUCCCCGGGCUCAACCUGGGAACUGCAUUCGAAACUGGCAGGCUAGAGUCUUGUAGAGGGGGGUAGAAUUCCAGGUGUAGCGGUGAAAUGCGUAGAGAUCUGGAGGAAUACCGGUGGCGAAGGCGGCCCCCUGGACAAAGACUGACGCUCAGGUGCGAAAGCGUGGGGAGCAAACAGGAUUAGAUACCCUGGUAGUCCACGCCGUAAACGAUGUCGAUUUGGAGGUUGUGCCCUUGAGGCGUGGCUUCCGGAGCUAACGCGUUAAAUCGACCGCCUGGGGAGUACGGCCGCAAGGUUAAAACUCAAAUGAAUUGACGGGGGCCCGCACAAGCGGUGGAGCAUGUGGUUUAAUUCGAUGCAACGCGAAGAACCUUACCUGGUCUUGACAUCCACAGAACUUUCCAGAGAUGGAUUGGUGCCUUCGGGAACUGUGAGACAGGUGCUGCAUGGCUGUCGUCAGCUCGUGUUGUGAAAUGUUGGGUUAAGUCCCGCAACGAGCGCAACCCUUAUCCUUUGUUGCCAGCGGUUAGGCCGGGAACUCAAAGGAGACUGCCAGUGAUAAACUGGAGGAAGGUGGGGAUGACGUCAAGUCAUCAUGGCCCUUACGACCAGGGCUACACACGUGCUACAAUGGCAUAUACAAAGAGAAGCGACCUCGCGAGAGCAAGCGGACCUCAUAAAGUAUGUCGUAGUCCGGAUUGGAGUCUGCAACUCGACUCCAUGAAGUCGGAAUCGCUAGUAAUCGUAGAUCAGAAUGCUACGGUGAAUACGUUCCCGGGCCUUGUACACACCGCCCGUCACACCAUGGGAGUGGGUUGCAAAAGAAGUAGGUAGCUUAACCUUCGGGAGGGCGCUUACCACUUUGUGAUUCAUGACUGGGGUGAAGUCGUAACAAGGUAA
rnacentral:rRNA from 1 species